CUUAAAAGGAAUUGACGGGGGCCCGCACAAGCGGUGGAGCAUGUGGUUAAUUCGAAGCAACGCGAAGAACCUUACCAGGCCUUGACAUCCCGAUGCUAUUUCUAGAGAUAGAAAGUUACUUCGGUACAUCGGUGACAGGUGGUGCAUGGUUGUCGUCAGCUCGUGUCGUGAGAUGUUGGGUUAAGUCCCGCAACGAGCGCAACCCCUAUUGUUAGUUGCCAUCAUUCAGUUGGGCACUCUAGCGAGACUGCCGGUAAUAAACCGGAGGAAGGUGGGGAUGACGUCAAAUCAUCAUGCCCCUUAUGACCUGGGCUACACACGUGCUACAAUGGUUGGUACAACGAGUUGCGAGUCGGUGACGGCGAGCUAAUCUCUUAAAGCCAAUCUCAGUUCGGAUUGUAGGCUGCAACUCGCCUACAUGAAGUCGGAAUCGCUAGUAAUCGCGGAUCAGCACGCCCGCGGUCGAAUACGUUCCGGGCCUU
rnacentral:rRNA from 1 species